CAGCCGCCGCGGUAAUACGUAGGUGGCAAGCGUUGUCCGGAAUUAUUGGGCGUAAAGGGCUCGCAGGCGGUUUCUUAAGUCUGAUGUGAAAGCCCCCGGCUCAACCGGGGAGGGUCAUUGGAAACUGGGAAACUUGAGUGCAGAAGAGGAGAGUGGAAUCCCACGUGUAGCGGUGAAAUGCGUAGAGAUGUGGAGGAACACCAGUGGCGAAGGCGACUCUCUGGUCUGUAACUGACGCUGAGGAGCGAAAGCGUGGGGAGCGAACAGGAUUAGAUACCCGCGUAGUCCCUGUCUCUUAUAC
rnacentral:rRNA from 1 species